GAUGAACGCUGGCGGCGUGCCUAAUACAUGCAAGUCGAGCGAACAGACGAGGAGCUUGCUCCUCUGACGUUAGCGGCGGACGGGUGAGUAACACGUAGGUAACCUACCUAUAAGACUGGGAUAACUUCGGGAAACCGGAGCUAAUACCGGAUAAUAUAUUGAACCGCAUGGUUCAAUAGUGAAAGACGGCUUUGCUGUCACUUAUAGAUGGACCUGCGCCGCAUUAGCUAGUUGGUAAGGUAACGGCUUACCAAGGCAACGAUGCGUAGCCGACCUGAGAGGGUGAUCGGCCACACUGGAACUGAGACACGGUCCAGACUCCUACGGGAGGCAGCAGUAGGGAAUCUUCCGCAAUGGGCGAAAGCCUGACGGAGCAACGCCGCGUGAGUGAUGAAGGUCUUCGGAUCGUAAAACUCUGUUAUUAGGGAAGAACAAAUGUGUAAGUAACUAUGCACGUCUUGACGGUACCUAAUCAGAAAGCCACGGCUAACUACGUG
rnacentral:rRNA from 1 species